rnacentral:rRNA from 1 species
UACAGAGGGUGCAAGCGUUAAUCGGAAUUACUGGGCGUAAAGCGUGCGUAGACGGUUAAGUAAGUUAGGUGUGAAAGCCCCGGGCUCAACCUGGGAAUUGCAUUUAAGACUGCUUAGCUAGGGUGCGGAAGAGGGAAGCGGAAUUUCCGGUGUAGCGGUGAAAUGCGUAGAUAUCAGGAGGAACACCGGUGGUGUAGGCGGCUCACUGGCCCGGAACUGACGCUGAGGUGCGAAAGCGUGGGGAGCAAACAGG